rnacentral:rRNA from 1 species
UACAGAGGGUGCAAGCGUUGUUCGGAAUUAUUGGGCGUAAAGGGCGCGUAGGCGGUGCUAUAAGUCUGUGGUGAAAUCUCUGGCUCAACCUGGAGUCGCCAUCCGAUACUGUCAUGGCUAGAGUCCGGUAGGGGCCCACGGAACUCCUGGUGUAGCGGUGAAAUGCGCAGAUAUCAGGAGGAACACCGGUGGCGAAGGCGGGUCUCUGGGCCGAUAUUGACGCUGAGGAGCGAAAGCGUGGGGAGCAAACAGG